rnacentral:rRNA from 1 species
UGAGGAAUAUUGGUCAAUGGGCGCAAGCCUGAACCAGCCAAGUAGCGUGAGGGAAGACUGCCCUAUGAGUUGUAAACCUCUUUUGUGCGGGGAUAAAGUGUGGGACGUGUCCCAUAUUGCAGGUACCGCACGAAUAAGGACCGGCUAAUUCCGUGCCAGCAGCCGCGGUAAUACGGAAGGUCCGGGCGUUAUCCGGAUUUAUUGGGUUUAAAGGGAGCGCAGGCCGUCCUUUAAGCGUGCUGUGAAAUGCCGCGGCUCAACCGUGGCACUGCAGCGCGAACUGGAGGACUUGAGUACGCACGAGGUAGGCGGAAUUCGUGGUGUAGCGGUGAAAUGCUUAGAUAUCAUGAAAAACUCCGAUUGCGAAGGCAGCUUACCGGAGCGCAACUGACGCUGAGGCUCGAAAGCGCGGGUAUCGAACAGGAUUAGAUACCCUGGUAGUCCGCGCGGUAAACGAUGGAUGCCCGCCGUUGGGUUUUAGAAUUCAGCGGCCAAGCGAAAGCGUUAAGCAUCCCACCUGGGGAGUACGCCGGCAACGGUGAAACUCAAAGGAAUUGACGGGGGCCCGCACAAGCGGAGGAACAUGUGGUUUAAUUCGAUGAUACGCGAGGAACCUUACCCGGGCUUGAAUUGCAGGAGAACGAUCCAGAGAUGGUGAGGCCCUUCGGGGCUCCUGUGAAGGUGCUGCAUGGUUGUCGUCAGCUCGUGCCGUGAGGUGUCGGCUCAAGUGCCAUAACGAGCGCAACCCCUGUCCAUAGUUGCCAUCAGGUCGUGCUGGGCACUCUGUGGAGACUGCCGCCGUAAGGUGUGAGGAAGGUGGGGAUGACGUCAAAUCAGCACGGCCCUUACGUCCGGGGCUACACACGUGUUACAAUGGGGCAUACAGCGAGUUGGAUGUGCGCAAGUACGUCCGGAUCAAUAAAGUGCCUCUCAGUUCGGACUGGGGUCUGCAACCCGACCCCACGAAGCUGGAUUCGCUAGUAAUCGCGCAUCAGCCAUGGCGCGGUGAAUACGUUCCC